ACCCGUUUGACCUGCAGCAAAUUUUCUUCCUUUCUUUGGGAAAUUGUCCUGAAUCAUUCCCCAAAUGAGAAGGGGCUUAAUGGAUGCAGUUUGCAGAGCCCUGAGACACAGCUGCCUCUGGGAUGGGAUGGGGUGGCCAUUCUCUGCUGGCAAGGAAGGGGACAGGAGGAAAAAGUCCGCAGUGGAGACUGUCCAGCACAAGGUUACACAGUCCUGGCUACUGCUACCCCCAGCUGCCAGUCACCUGCCUGCCCCUGCUUCUGCCUCCUCCCCACUGCCAGGAAGUUUUCCUGCUCCACACUCCCCUCACCUGUGAAUUGAGUGGAGCUUUUCAUUGAUCUGUCUACAGCAACAUGCAGAUCCCGUUCUUGGGUUGUGUAGCCGAUAAUCUGUUCUGCCACCAUCGCUAGGUGUAAUGCAUGUUCAGUAGGGAUUUCUCCCCUCUUCCCUUUUUGUAUUUCCUCUCCCUACUAGUGUUGGGGUGUCCUUCUCCUCAGGUUAGUGUAUUAAUGAUCUCAUCUUGGGGUCAUAUGUGUCAAUUCAUUGCUACAGAGAACUAUCCAUGAUGACUCCAAGAUCUCUUUCCUGAUUAGUUGUAGCUAAAUUAGCCCCCAUCAUAUUGUAUGUAUAGUUGGGGUUAUGUUUUUCCAACGUGACAUUUAUCCACCUUAAAUUUCAUUUGCCAUUUUGUUGCCCAA